rnacentral:rRNA from 1 species
UACGUAGGGUGCGAGCGUUGUCCGGAAUUAUUGGGCGUAAAGGGCUCGUAGGCGGUCUGUCGCGUCGGGAGUGAAAACUCAGGGCUUAACCCUGAGCCUGCUUCCGAUACGGGCAGACUAGAGGUAUGCAGGGGAGAACGGAAUUCCUGGUGUAGCGGUGAAAUGCGCAGAUAUCAGGAGGAACACCGGUGGCGAAGGCGGUUCUCUGGGCAUUACCUGACGCUGAGACGCGAAAGCGUGGGGAGCAAACAGG